rnacentral:rRNA from 1 species
UUGAGCGGAGAUAUAUGGAGCUUGCUUUAUAUAACUUAGCAGCGAACGGGUGAGUAACACGUAGAUAAUCUAUCCUAUACUGGGGGAUAGCCCGAUGAAAGUUGGAUUAAUACCGCAUAUAGCUAUAUAGUUGCAUGAUUAUGUAGUGAAAGAUUUAUUGGUAUAGGAGGAGUCUGCGGCACAUUAGCUAGUAGGUGAGGUAAAGGCUUACCUAGGCGACGAUGUGUAGCCGGUCUGAGAGGAUGAACGGCCACAAUGGAACUGAGACACGGUCCAUACUCCUACGGGAGGCAGCAGUGGGGAAUAUUGCACAAUGGGGGAAACCCUGAUGCAGCAACGCCGCGUGAGUGAAGAAGGUUUUCGGAUUGUAAAGCUCUGUUAGCAGGGAAGAGGAAGGACGGUACCUGCAGAGGAAGCCACGGCUAACUACGUGCCAGCAGCCGCGGUAAUACGUAGGUGGCAAGCGUUGUUCGGAAUAACUGGGCGUAAAGGAUGCGUAGGCGGUUAAACAAGUUAUAUGUUAAAUAUAUAGGCUUAACCUGUAGAAAGCAUAUAAAACUGUUUAACUAGAGUGCAGGAGAGGUAAGUGGAAUUCCUAGUGUAGCGGUGAAAUGCGUAGAGAUUAGGAAGAACACCAGUGGCGAAGGCGACUUACUGGACUGUAACUGACGCUGAGGCAUGAGAGCAUGGGGAGCAAACAGGAUUAGAUACCCUGGUAGUCCAUGCUGUAAACGAUGGGUACUAGGUGU